UGCUGCUAGUACAGCACAAAUUCUGUAUGCUUGAGGAUGAAAAAGAGAUUUCCAAGCCUUCCUCUUUCAAAGUGAGAGGCUGGUGAGACUGCUAACACACAGAAUCUCAUCAUGAAGCACCGCAGACUGAAGGUAUUACAGAAAAUAAAAUUUUAAAAAACUUAACGGUAUAUGAGAGAAAAAGGUGAGGCAUACCUGGUGCUCAGGCUGUUUCUGGUAUCCCAUGUUUCUCCAUUGAGCUAUUGUCAUUCCGUGGAAAAUAACUACAC